GCAACUCGCUCUCAUUUCAUUUAUCAACACCAAUCGUAAAAGAAUCCCAACAAGAGAACAAUAAUAUAACGACAACAUUUCUGCAAGGGAAAUAUAAUAUAGCAACAACAUCCGGGCAAGAGAAUAAUAAUAUAAUAACAAUAUUUUGGCAAGGGAACAAUAUAACAACAACAUCCUGGCAAGGGAACAAUAAUAUAAUCAUCAUAUGAAGCACAAAUAAACAAAAACAUAGUCAUAACAAAUACAAUACAAGACUUACAGGCAUUCUUGAAACCGACGUAUAGAUACUCGUCACCAUGCCUAUACAUCGUACUCCACAGUUAACACAUAGCAAAUAAGACACAACUCUUAAUACCUAAAGCUAAGGUUAGACCAAACAUUUACCUCAAACUUCUACGGCCAACUCAAGCCUCAAACACUGCUUUUCCUUUAGAAUUUGCCUCCAAAUUACUUGUAUCUAGUCCAAAUUAAUCUAACAACGUCAGUAAAUGCUAAGGAAUUCAUACCCAAUGCUAAAUUAAUGAUUUUUAUACCACUUUCCCCAAAAAGUCAAAAAUCAACCCCGAGCCCGCUUGGUCAAAAAUCGAAGUUUGGACCAAAACCCAAUUAUUCAUUCACCCACGAGCCCAAAUAUGCAAUUAGUUUUACAAUUAGACCCCAAAUAAAGGUCUAAAUUCCAAUUAUUUAAAAAGUUCUAACUCUACCCAAAUUCCUAUUUUCUACCAUGAAAACUCUUGAUUUUUGAUUAAAAAGGGAUAAAAACAGUGGGUAUUUGAAAGAGUAAAGUUUAGAACUGAUUGCCAAAACUCUCGGAAUGAAUUUGUGUGAAGCAAAUCGCCUUUAGGCCUUGGGAGUUUGAAAAUAUGAAGAAAAAUGAGUUAUGUCUGCUUGCAGUCUGUUUUAAAUGACUGGGCAUGCCUUCUUCACGUUUUCGCAUGUUUGAGUUUAAGUGAAAAAGUUAUGAAGUUUUGAAGAAAUCUCGUCUUGCUAUUGUUUUAAAAUAACUGGACAAGGAACCUAUGCGUUCGCACACGAUUGGAUGAGUACGCAUAGAACAAAUGGUAACCCCCAAAAUUAACUCUAUGCUAUUACGGACCUACCUAUGUGAUCGCAUAGAACAAAUAAUGACCCCAUAAUUAACUCUAUGCUAUCGUGGACCUACCUAUGCGAUCGCAUAGAACGAAUGACCUCCAGAAUUAACUCUAUACUAUCACAGACUAUGUGAUCGAAUAGAACAAAAUAGGACCCCCGAGACUAUACUAUGCAAUCGUAUAGCAUAAAAACCUGGAUACCAGCAAACAACAAAAACACCAGAUUUUCUAAGUCCAAAAAUACUCCGACGCCUAUCUGGAACUCACCCGAGUCCUCGAGACUCCAAACCAAAUAUGUAAGCUACCUAAAAAAUAUCUUAAAGACUUACUCGUGCGAUCAAAUCGCCAAAAUAACAUCUUAAAUAACGAAUUAGCAUAGAAAUCUAAGAAAAAACUCAAAACUUUCAAAGCUUCAAACUUCAUACAUACAGGGCCGAACCACAUCAAAUUGCUUCCAUUUCUUACCAAAUUUUCACAAAUGCAUCUUAAAUUUUAUAUUGAACCUGUACCAGGGUCUGAAAAAAAAUACGGGGCCGAUACAAUAAACUUUAAAUAUAAUAAAAUUUUCAAAAACUCUUAUAUUUUCUGUAAAAUAAUUUCUUUCAAAAAUUGAUUUCUCGAGCUUGGAACCUCGGAGUUUGAUUUCGGGCAUAUGCCCAAGUCUUAUAUUUUCUUACGGACUUUUCCGGACUGUCCAAUCACAAUUUCGGGUCCAUUUACCCAAAAUAUUGACCAAAAUCAACUUAAUUUUAUCACAUUCUACAUAAAAGCAUUUCAGAUAUACGUCCGGACCACGCAUGCAAAUCAAAGCGAGGAAAAGGAAGGGUUUUAAGGCCUCGAAAUACAGAAUUUACUCAUAAAUCAAGUGGUGGCCUUUUGGGACAUUACAUUACUCUUAUCGGUCACUACCACCAUCACCCACCAUCACCCACUGUCAUUAACUACUAUUGUCAUCUACCAUGUACUACUCAUAAUCACCAGUAUCAACCAACACCACUACCAGCCACUACCCGUCGGCAUCCAUAACCAUCAUUGUUAGCCAUUAUCACCACCAACCACCAUAUAGUUUUUAAAAAAAUAUUUAUUAAUAUAAUAUUAUACUAAUUAGUACUAUUUAAUUUAAAUUUAUAUUUAUUAAUUUUUAAAUAAAGAUAAGUUUUAUACGUUAAUAAAACAUCUUAAUAUUAAGAUAUGUAUUCUGAUUCAGACGUUUUAACCUUAAUAUACAUAUUAAUAUCCAGAUGUAUAUUCAGAUUCAAACGUCUUCAUCUAAAUAUAAACAAAUUAGGCAUUAGUGGGCUCCACUAUGUUUUGGUAAAAAAUAUAUAUGCGCUAGAUCCAAAGUGAUAUUACUUCAUAAUUCAAAAGACGUCCACUCUAAUACCUUCAAAGUUUUAGGGUUUGUUUUGUACGAAGGAUAAUAUUAUUCGGAAUUUUUUUUCAAUUUUUUCAUAUUUGGUUGGCUUAAAUAUUUUGAAAACUAUUUUUCUUGCGAAUUCAUUUUCCUUCAAUUGGAGGAAAUUAUUUUUCUUAUUAAAAAAAGGGAGAAUAUUUUCCAAUUUUUUUUUCAACCUCCCCCAUACCCCACCCACCGCACCCAUAACCCUCUCACCUCAUAACCUCAACCCNNNNNNNNNNNNNNNNNNNNNNNNNNNNNNNNNCCCACCCUACCCAAUCCCGACAUACCCUUACCGUAAAUUGAAAUAUUAUUAAGAUUACUUUCUUUUUAGAUAAAGUGCUUUUUUUAAUUUCACCAAAGUAAUUAUUUUUCUCAUAACGUAAAAAAGUAUUUUCAUUCAUUUUAACAAAAAAUGUACUUUUUUCAUGGUGUACAAAAAGUAUUUUCUUUUAUUUUACUGAAAAGUACUUUUUUUUAUGAUGUAGAAAAAGUUUUUUCUUUCAUUUCAACAAAAUGAAUAUUUUCUUUUCAUGAUGUAGAAAAAGUAUUUUCGCUCAUUUUAAAAUGAGUACUUUUAUAUUGUAGAAAGAGUACUUUUCUUUUCAACCAAAAAAUAACAUUUUCUUUUUAAUUAUGUAGCACAAAUUUCAAUGUUUUUUUUUUGCGUAAAAAAAAUAAAACAACACAUUAGCCACUUUGGGCAUUAUGUAAUUCUCAAAAAAAUAAUUAAACUCUUGAAGGAAAUAGAGUCCUCAAAAUGUUGGGUAUUUGGGGUCUGGAGAGAGGGAGGGGAGGGGCAAGGGAGCAUAGGAAACACGAGGAUUUAGGUAGGGGAGAUGAGAAAGAAAAGUAACAUAAAAAUUUAUUUUUCUAAAAAGAAUUUCUACUCUCUAAACAACAACAACAACAACAACAAUAACCCAGUAUAAUCCCACUUAGUGGGGUUUGGGGAGGGUNNNNNNNNNNNNNNNNNNNNNNNNNNNNNNNNNNNNNNNNNNNNNNNNNNNNNNNNNNNNNNNNNNNNNNNNNNNNNNNNNNNNNNNNNNNNNNNNNNNNNNNNNNNNNNNNNNNNNNNNNNNNNNNNNNNNNNNNNNNNNNNNNNNNNNNNNNNNNNNNNNNNNCGGCUUUUAAAUAUAUUAAUCUGUUAGCCACCCGAUAAGAUAUCGGGCGGAUUGGUAUCGGUUUAGCUCUUAUCGGGCGGUUUAUCGGCCUAACAUAUAUAUUCACUAAGGAGAUGAAUAUGUUGGUAAGGAGAUGAUACCGUCAAAUUCUGAAUCUCUGGUAUUUGGCAGACUGCUAAACUUGGUAUUAGGCAGCCUAAGGAAAAAGUAUUUCAUACACACAACACAUAUCAAAGGCAACCAAUAUUCUUAACAAACCCAUAUUCUGUUUCUUAAUAAUGGCUCAAGAAAAGAAAAAAACUUUAAACAAAGAUAAAGAAAUCCCACAACAAUUUCAAAUGGUUACCAAGCUUAACAUUUAUUUUUUAACUAACAAACAAAUCAACUUAAUUUAAAUCAAUUUUAGAAAUUUUUUCUCUAAAUGUAUACAAAUUUCCAGAGGCAUAUGUAGCAUCCGUUCAAUUGACACUUUUGUGUCCUUACUUGCAAUCCAAUUCAAAGAAUCUCGAAUUUUCAGAGACAUAUGUAGUAUCAGUUCAAUUGACACUUUUGUGUCCCUACUUGCAAUCUAAUUCAAAGAAUCCCUCUUACUUUCUUCCCCAGCUACAAAGUUCAAUAACUGUAGUAACUGACAUAUCUUAUUCAUCUCUAAAUCAUUUAGACAGUACCUGGAUAAGAAGAGGGUACCUGGAGAGAAGAGAUGGCGAGAGGGAGACCAACGAUUGGUAGAAGUAGACGACAACGACCGGACGCGGAGAGGAUUGGUGGCUGCUGCUUUAAGUGUUAGGGUUUCUCAGUUCUCACUUUCUCUAUAAUGGGG
rnacentral:lncRNA from 1 species